CUAAGUGAGCUACUUUAAAGCAGCUAUUAGAGCUAACCCGUCUCUGUCGCAAAAGAGUGGGGUGACUUUAAAGUAGAGGUGAUAGACCUACCGAACUUAGAGAUAGCUGGUUUUUUAAGAAAAGAAUUUUAGUUCAGCCCCAAGCCUUUCGUUAAGCAAAAAACCUUCUUAGGCCUGGGAGUCAUUCACAUAGGGCACAGCCUAUUUGAAACAGGAUACAACCUAGAAUAUAGGGUAAAACAAUGUGAUUUUUCUAUAAGUGGGCUUGAAAGCAGCCACCUUUCAAAAAGCGUUGUAGCUUAUUGAUACUGAUUAUUUAAUAACCUCAAAAAUGUUUAACCCACACACACUAUUAAACUAUCCCAUAAAUUUAUGGGAGCUAUCAUGCUAGAACAAGUAACAAGAAAAAGAUUUUUCUCCAAAAUACAAGCUUUAGCCGCUACAGACAAACUACCGGCAAUUAACGCCUUUUAACUAAUUUAGUAACUCU
rnacentral:rRNA from 1 species